rnacentral:ncRNA from 1 species
GUUAUAACGCUGAAAAAGGACUAGUACAUGUCCAACCUUUUUUGCAGAGAGAGAAUCCGUUUGGCUGAAAGAUUCUUAAAGGGCGAUAUGGAACCUACCUUUGAGUUCUGCAUAUGCAGCGGGAAAUUCCCGUUAUCAAAAAGAGAGCAUAUACAAUUUUUGUGUAUGAAUCAGGGUGGUAACGCCGGCAAAGCUCGGUCCCUAUU